AGAGGCUCCUGUUCACCCUCUGAGCAAGAGUCCUCUCCUUCCAGAAGCCUUACCUGGAUCCCCAGACGAAGGUAGAUGUUUCUUCCUCAGCAGAUUGACAUGAGAAUACAGCCACAGCUGUUACUGGCACCUCUCGGAGCAUCCCAUCCGACGGUUCUCUCCCAUGAGAUCCAGACCCUGUGCCUUCCCGACUCCUUAUCUUCAAAGCCUGGCACCUGUCUGAUGGUGAUGAGAGAUGGAGAUCUUCCCUGGAGAGAAACCGAGACAGAUAAGAAAAAGAGAAACCGUAUCUGAAGAAAAGAGAAACCACUCUAAGAGGAUCUUAUGCCCUGAGACUAGCCCUUCCAUGCAUCCCAACAGCGCUCUAAGAAGCAAAGCACGUGAGUGGGAAGAACAGGGCUUGCUUUUGCCGUCAUCCUAUGUAGAAUAUGGUCACUUCAUUUGCCCAAUCCUCUGGUCCCUUUUGAAAGCUGUCUACUAAUGGAACUGUGGAGGGAGAACAGGAAUUGCCAAGAAAUAGAUAGGAUUGACUUCUCUGUUGCUGAGAGAGGUCCUCUCAUGAUCCUGUGAAAGUGGAGGUGAUCUGGGUCUGAAUCUAAGAGGCAGACCGUCUCUGUACCCAUAUGGGGCAGGGCUGAUCAAAACACCAUCCAAACCCAUCUGCAAUGUUAGGGGAAUCUCUUUUGGAACAAAAGGUGGUUGGGUAAAUGAGAAGCAGCUUCUGCUUUUAUGAGGCAGGCCUGGUGUAAGCAGGUGCCAGUACACAGAGCAGCAUUCAAAAGUAAAUUUCAGUGUCUAGGCAUGUAGUUUGUUAGACUUUCAAAGCCCUUUCACAUUCUUAUUCUCCUUUAAUCCUCAUCCAAUCCUCCAGGAAAACUUAGGGGAAAAUGGGAAAGAAGUUGUUUUCUGUGUUUGUUUGUUUGUUGUUUUUUUAAUUGAAGUACUGUUCAUUUACAAUCUUGUGUUGAGUUUCAGAUGUACAAGAAAGUAAUUCAGUUAUAUUCUUUUUUUCAGAUUAUUUUUCAUUAUAGGUUGUUACAAAAUAUCGAGCAUGGCUCCCUGUGCUGUACCAUAAAUCCUUGUUAUUUGUCUAUUUUCUAUGUAGGAGUGUGUAUACCUUAAUACCAAAUGCCUAAUUUAUGCCACCCCCCCAACUUUGGCAACCAUAAGUUUGUUUUCUAGGUCUGUGAUGUUUUCUGCCUUAAUGUCACGCAUAUCUGCUGAGUAAUAAUGUGUGCUAAGCUCUUUAUCUAGAACCCAGGAUACAGACAUGAAUGAAGCUAUCACGAUCAGUGUCUUCGUGGAGCCGAUAUUCUGGUGGGGAAGAGACUGAAGAAGGAGUUGUGAUUGCAUUUAGAGAAAGAAGAGUGGGUACAGAAGACUUUCAGAAGGAGAUGCAAUAGUGAAGGUUGCAGAUGGAAUAACUGAGAGGAGUUCCCAUCAUGGCUCAGCAGAAGCGAAUCUGACUAGCAUCCACAAGG
rnacentral:lncRNA from 1 species